ACUGCCGUCGCGUCGCAGUUACUAAGGCGUGGGGAAGAUAGCGGCAGGCACCACAGUGGAGCGGCUCCGAGAUCCCCGGGAGGCUCGCAGGCGCGCAUCCCUCCUGACUGGGACGUCGCCUCCGCAGACCCCUCGGAGGCUGAAGCGACGCCGGAGGCAGGUCAAGGACACUGGUUAGUGGUUCAGAAAGGUAACCUCAAGAAGAAGCCCAAGGGUUUGGUUGGAGCACAAGCUGAACGUCAGGAAAGCCUGAAGGCGACUUCUUUUGAGUUCAAGGGGAAGAAAGGGUCUCGGCGGGAAAAUCAGGUGGACCUUCCUGGACGUAUCCUGGACCAGGCUUUUCUGCUGAAGCACCACUGUGUGAGGAAGCCAUCAGAUCUGUGCACCAUUAAUGCCAAGGAAAAUGACUUCAAGCAUUUUCAUUCUGUGAUUUAUAUCAAUGCCUCAGAAAACCUGCUGCCUCUAGAGGCAUUUCACACGUUUCCAGCCCUAAAGGAACUGGAUCUCGCAUUUAAUGGCAUCAAAACUAUCUACGUGAAAUAUGGAGACUUUAAGUUAUUAGAA
rnacentral:sRNA from 1 species